UCCAGCCAUCCUGCAAUGUGAAUGUGUUGUCGAAGGCUUUCAAGGCCGGAAUCACUGGUUUGGUUGCUGUGGGUUUUCCGGGCUGUAUGGCCAUGUUCCAGAAGCAUGACGUUUCGCCUGCAUCUAUAGCAGGCAUCCUCUGAGAUUGUGGGUAAGAACAGACCACAGAACAACAGAUUGGUUCAAGAUUGGGAAAGGAGCCUUUCAAGGUGAAAGAAGACAGUGCAAAAGUUGGAUUGCAGUUAAACAUAAAAAAUAUAUUAUGGCAACCAGACUGAUUGAUAGCUGGCAAACAGAGGGAGAAAACAUGGAGGCAGUGACAGACUUCAUAUUUCUAAACAUGAAGAUUACUGCAGACACAGACUGUAGCCAGGAAAUCAGAAGAUAUUUACUUCUUGGGAGGAGAGCAAUGACCAAUCUCAAUAAAAUGGUGAAGAGUAGAGACAUCACACUGUCAACGAAGGUCCGCAUAGUUAAAGCAAUGGUCUUCCCUGUAGUAAUCUAUGGAUGCAAGAGUUGGACCAUAAGGAAGGCUGAGCGAAGGAAGAUAGACGCUUUUGUACUGUGGUGUUGGAGGACGAUUCUGAGAGUGGCUUGGACCACAAGAAGACCAAAUCAGUCCAUACUCCAGAAAAUAAUGAAGUACUUUGGCCGUAACAAUGCUACCUCUUCCCUCUCUUAAAGGCAACCUAUCAACUUUAUUGUUCUUUAUAUACUGCAGAAACCAUUUUCCUAAGGUCUAUUGAAGCAUGCAGUAUCCUUAUUGUUCUUUGCUUUGCAAGUCUAUAGCAGAAUAUUGGUUUAUACUGCCAGUAGUUGGUAUAUGGGUUCCACUGAAAUAAUAUCAAUACUAUGCUAUGCUUUGGUUUAAAUCAGGUUUAAACUUGAGCCCACCAGGUGAGAGUUGAAGUCCAAAACACCUGGAGGGCACAAGUUUGCCCAUGUCUGGUUUAAAUAGUAGGAAGAGAAAGAAAAUGCUUCUUUUAGCCACUGUGUGUCACUGUUACACUGGUGAAUAGUAGUUGUUGCUGUGCUGACCAAAUGAUUUCUGCUAACCCAAUUUAAACUUGACAUGAAAUCCGCAAACUUUGGAUUAAUCUACUCUUGAGCCACCACAAAUAGGAUGAGAGGAAGAUUCUAGCACUGUGCAGAGGAAAGAAUGAAUCGAAUCCUUUCCUUACAAAAAAAAAAGAAGUCACUGAAUUGUUCUGUUCAUUUGUGAAUCUAAUUCUAUUCCAUGAUAUAUAUUAUUAUCUCACAUCAAUUAAUGCAUUUGUGUAUUAAUUAUUCAAGAAGCUUGUGUGGUUCUCGUGCUCAUGUUUUAAAUCUCAAAACAACCCUUUGAGGUAAAAGAUGAUGGAAAAUAGUGAUCUGGCCAUAUUACCCAGUAUUUAUUUAUUUUUCAUGUCAGAAGUGAAUUAAGAAUACAGUUAUAAUGAAUAAAAAACACAAACAAAGUUAAAAACUUGGCAUUAUACUAAAUUUCCUUUGACCAGAAGCUGGCCACUGGGAGUGCCUCUGGUGUCGCUGUGAGAAGGUCGUCCAUUGUGCAUGUGGAAGGGUUCAGACCGUAUUGUAAUAUGUGGCCUGUGAUUUGCACUUCUCCAUACUCCACUUUGUAGCUGCAUUUCUGAAGAUUGACUCUGCAUCUCAUGGUGCCAGAGCGCAGUCUGUUCAGCGCCUUCCAAGUCACCAUUACCCAGUAAAUUUAAACAUUAGACAAAUGAAUGUGGGCUCAAACCUGCAAUUUUCUCAAUCCUGUUUUAAUGGUGUCAUACUCUCUGAAUUCUACUCUGCUGGCUAUAUAGAACAAAACUGAUUGUUCACAUUGUAAACUAAUACAUGUAAUACAUUUAAUUUUUUAAAAGUCAACAUUCAGUAAAAGAGCAUUUGCACCUCUGCUGUUGAGCUGAAAAUCCACAUUCUGCAACAAAUAAACUUUGCAACGCAUGCAUCAUCUGCACGCAUCAUUCGAAAAUACAUCACACAGUCCUAAAUGCUUGGGAAGUGUUCAAGUUAGGAUUUUGUGAUACAAAUGCAGCAUAUACAUCUUGUUUGCUGUGUCAUACUGUGUUUUUGUGUCAGUAUAAUAAUAAUAAUAAUAAUAAUAAUAAUAAUAAUAAUAAUAAUAAUAAGCGUUUCCCUCAAACAGAACAGUAUCUUUUCCUAUAAGUAUUCUUGUUAGGAAUUACAAACUGCAGAAUCCCUUUGUGUUAGAAGAGUAGCUGUAGUUGGUUGAAUUCCAUGUUUCUAUUCUAGUGAACAGAUAAAUCAGAGAUUUUGGGCAACUCACUAUUCGGCAUUUGUAAGCCACCUGGGUCCCAAAUUAAUAAUGAAGCUGGAACUAACCACAACGUAUGAUUUGAUGUAAUAUAAAUAUCAUCAAAAUUUUAAAAAAUCCUUUCAGAUUAUGGAUCCCAUUAACUUGCAAUCUGCUGUUAUUUAGAGCUUCAUUGAACAUGGGCUGUAUCUACACUGCUACAAAAGGCAGUUCAAAGUUGUAUUAUAUGGCAGUGUAGAUGGGGCCCAUGGAAAGCCCUUUACAAAAUGUGCGAACCCAAAUAUUUUUGGUUAAUUGGAUAACAUUAUUAGGUCUAAACUAGAAAUAUAACUAAUGAAUAAGGAAUGAAGAGCCACAUCUUUCAUGUUUGAUUACUCAUAUUACCUUCCACUGUGCGUGUAGAUCCCUCACCCUAUUUGCUUGAACUCCAGAUUGUAAUUUUAUUUAUUGAAAGCAUUUCAACCCAUCUACAGAUGGAAGAGUUCCUUAACAAAAUUUGCAGAUAAAUAAAGUGCAGCAGCCAUUCCAUCUGGUUGCAACAAGAACACAGAAGGAAAGCAGGGCCAAUAUGAGCCCUCCUGAGAAAGUAAUUUCAUCCGGUUUGGGCUCUCCUCAAUCUAGUGCCAUCCUAAUCUAGAUUACUCAGUAUAAUGCGUUAACGCCAUCAUGUACUGCUCAUGUAGAUCUCAGCCUGCAGCAACAGCAACUUUGGGUCAGAUGGUAGCAAUUUCCCGCUGUGUCACUGCCGGCACAUGAUAUAGCAAUGCACUGUACUGACACUGCCAAAAUGUUUGUUUUCUGGCUCACCACCAAAGGCAGAAGGAACUGGAAGCAUCCACUAAAUCUGACGUCAAGAGAAACACACUCUCAGGAUGUGUAAAAGCUUUUAUUUCCUAACUCAGAAAGCCCAAACAGAUUCAGCCUAGGAAUAUUUAUAUGAGUUUCUACAGAAUAGGGCAUAAUAUCUAUGUAAUAAUAAUUAUAGGCAAGAAAUAAAUGGAAGAAUUACAGAUCAAAAGCUCAGGCUUUUAAAGUAACUGUUAUGUUGUUUAUACCUUUGUUAUAUUGUUUUAAAUUACUGUUUUAAUUACUGUUGUAUGUAAUGCUAUGUUGUUGUUUUUGGGCUAGUCCCUUUGCGGAGAUGGAGGCGGGAUACAAGAAUAAAGUUGUUAUUAUUAUUAUUA